UAUUAUUAUUAUUAUUAUUAUUAUUAUUAUUAUUAUUAUUAUUAUUAUUAUUAUUAUUAUUAUUAUUAUUAUAAAAAAAUAAAUAACCGAUUAAGCAUUAGAAUCAAAGUUUUGCCUAUGAAAAAGUAUCAAUGGUUAUAUUAUACAUGUAUGCAAAGUUAUCGUUUAUGGAUACAUGAUAUUUUCAAUUAAAUAUUGCAUUAUUUUUAAUUAAAUUAAGGUCUUAGUAUGCUUGUUUCUUCCGCAUUAGCACGGACCUUAAUUUAAAUCCGUGGCAUUAUUAAUGCUUAAUGCUUUAUUACACAAACGCUAUCUAGGCAUAUCACGCGUUUUCAAAACAACCAAUGAGAUUAAAGCGUUGGUUUUGUAUCAUGUGAAUCAUAUCAACCAAUCAGAAAUAGCGCGGGCGAAAUGAAAAAAGAAAAAAACACGAUUGGAAAUGGAUAAUAAAUAAAAUUCAGAAUAUUGCAAAACAAGGACAGUAUAAAGCGUGUUUAAAUCUUCCAGAAAUGCAACUGUGCCCUCUUUACAGCAAUUAUAGAUGAAGCAAAGUAUGGUAGCAAGUUAUAUAGAUAUACACACAUGCCGAAGAAGAUUGUAAUAUCUGGAGAAAACAUUUCCUUCGUCAAGAAAUAGACACCAUUACACUGGUCUACGUAACAUUCCUAUUAUAGAUGAUUGAUAUAUUUAUGUGCUUUUAAGAACAGUGUUUGAAUGUCGAAUUUCUGUGAAUACGGAUUUUUAGUUUUAAUGGUUAUUAUUAAAACUUUCUGUUAUAAUCAAUUUGUGCUAUGG